rnacentral:rRNA from 1 species
AGUGAACGCUGGCGGUAGGCCUAACACAUGCAAGUCGAACGGCAACACAGGAGAGCUUGCUCUCUGGGUGGCGAGUGGCGGACGGGUGAGGAAUACAUCGGAAUCUACACUGUCGUGGGGGAUAACGUAGGGAAACUUACGCUAAUACCGCAUACGACCUACGGGUGAAAGCAGGGGACCUUCGGGCCUUGCGCGAUUGAAUGAGCCGAUGUCGGAUUAGCUAGUUGGCGGGGUAAAGGCCCACCAAGGCGACGAUCCGUAGCUGGUAUGAGAGGAUGAUCAGCCACACUGGAACUGGGACACGGUCCAGACUCCUACGGGAGGCAGCAGUGGGGAAUAUUGGACAGUGGGCGCAAGCCUGAUCCAGCCAUACCGCGUGGGUGAAGAAGGCCUUCGGGUUGUAAAGCCCUUUUGUUGGGAAAGAAAUCCAGCUGGCUAAUACCCGGUUGGGAUGACGGUACCCAAAGAAUAAGCACCGGCUAACUUCGUGCCAGCCGCCGCCGUAA